CUGCAGAUAUGGGUGGGACCCAAGAAUUUGUAUUUUAACAAGUUCCCAGGAGAUUCUAACUCUGCUGGUCCCAGGCCACACUUUGAGAACCACUGCUCUAGAAUCUUAGUGAGAUAGAAAAGAGGAAUGCAGAAAUGGUACCACAAAGACAAAUGCUCCUAGAAGCCAAACAGAACAGGCAAGGAAGAGGAAUUCAGACUCUUUUGGGGGGUCUUGUUGCUUCACUACAUAAAAUCACCAAUUGCUUGAACUUCAUGGAGAAUUAGAAAGGUCUCUUCAUCCCAG